GAAAGAGGUCUUAUGAGAAACCAACCCUGCCGGCACCCUGCCCUUGGACUUGCAGCCCCCAGAACUGUGAGAACGCAAAUUUCUGUUAUUUAAUACAACCCAGUCUGUGGUAUUUUGUUAUAGCAGCAGGCUAAUGCGGCAGAUAACAAGCAAACAAGUAAAUAUAUAAUGUCAGGGAAUGAUAGGGGAGCACUUUGAAGAACAGUGGAGCAAGGUCUUUGCUGUCCAAUAGAGAAGACGCUGGAGGAGAGCAAGUGUGGAAACACAGAGACCAAUUAGGAAGCUGCUGGUCCAGCUGCAUGGUCACUUCACACGACCCAAAAAGGGGAGCAGACACAUUGAGUGUUAUACAACCACUGAAGAUGGGGCAGGCGAGAAGGACGGAAGGAUGGCUGGAGUGUACAGUAAUGUACUGAGCGCUAGACUGUUGCCAGAGGUUUCCCCAGCUUCUAAUACUCCUUAUUCCAGUGAAGUGCAAGUUGCAAAAGUUGGGGAUGGAAACCAGA